UACCAGCUUCCUCAUAUGACAAAAUAUGUUGGAGAGAAGACUGUUGUGGGAGAUGAUCAUCAGACUCCUUCUGGGCUUUUAUUUUGACAUUGUGAUGGGAAAAAGGUUGUGUUACUUUUCAUCCCCCUCAAACUUGGGAUGGGGUUAACUUCCUCACCAAGUUUGCUAAGCAGCUGCUCAAAAGAUCUUCUUGGUAGAGGCUUCGUAAAGAUAUCAGCAAUCUGAUACACAAUAGAGAUGUGUUUUGUCUUGAUCAAACCCAAGAC
rnacentral:lncRNA from 1 species